GGUGUAAUGUGGGGUGGGAAGCUAAGAUCAGCCCCACUUGCAUAGUCACUUGGUGAACAAGUCCCAAUUCGAUCGCUUAAAUAGAUAUCCAAGUUAGCUGAUGAAGUUGUUUCUACCUUUCUCUUCCACUUGAACCUUCACCUAACAGAGAUGUGAGAGAUAGAAAGAGACAGAAAGCAGUGCGGAGAUCUUCUUAUAUUGUUUCACUUUUUCGCAUCGAACAGCUCAUUUAUUGUA
rnacentral:misc_RNA from 1 species